CCUACGGGAGGCAGCAGUGAGGAAUAUUGGUCAAUGGACGAGAGUCUGAACCAGCCAAGUAGCGUGAAGGAUGACUGCCCUAUGGGUUGUAAACUUCUUUUAUAUGGGAAUAAAAUGUUCCACGUGUGGGAUUUUGUAUGGACCAUAUGAAUAAGGAUCGGCUAACUCCGUGCCAGCAGCCGCGGUAAUACGGAGGUUCCGAGCGUUAUCCGGAUUUAUUGGGUUUAAAGGGAGCGUAGGUGGAUUGUUAAGUCAGUUGUGAAAGUUUGCGGCUCAACCGUAAAAUUGCAGUUGAAACUGGCAGUCUGGAGUGCAGGAGAGGUAGGCGGAAUUCGUGGUGUAGCGGUGAAAUGCUUAGAUAUUACGAAGAACUCCGAUUGCGAAGGCAGUUCACUGGACUGCAACUGACACUGAGGCUCGAAAGUGUGGGUGUCAAACAGGAUUAGAUACCCGUGUAGUC
rnacentral:rRNA from 1 species